CAGCCGCCGCGGUAAUACGAAGGGGGCUAGCGUUGCUCGGAAUUACUGGGCGUAAAGGGAGCGUAGGCGGAUCGUUAAGUUGGGGGUGAAAGCCCGGGGCUCAACCUCGGAACUGCCUUCAAUACUGGCGAUCUUGAGUAUGAGAGAGGUGUGUGGAACUCCGAGUGUAGAGGUGAAAUUCGUAGAUAUUCGGGAGAACACCAGUGGCGAAGGCGACACACUGGCUCAUUACUGACGCUGAGGCUCGAAAGCGUGGGGAGCAAACAGGAUUAGAUACCCCGGUAGUCCCUGUCUCUUAUAA
rnacentral:rRNA from 1 species